UAGCUCAGCGACAGAGCAUUUGCCUGGCACGUAAAAGGCCCUGGUUUCAAUCCCCAG
rnacentral:tRNA from 1 species